UACGUAGGGGGCGAGCGUUAUCCGGAUUCACUGGGUGUAAAGGGAGCGUAGACGGCCAUGCAAGCCAGGGGUGAAAGCCCGGGGCCCAACCCCGGGACUGCCCUUGGAACUGCAUGGCUGGAGUGCGGGAGGGGCAGGCGGAAUUCCUGGUGUAGCGGUGAAAUGCGUAGAUAUCAGGAGGAACACCGGCGGCGUAGGCGGCCUGCUGGACCGCGACUGACGUUGAGGCUCGAAAGCGUGGGGAGCGAACAGG
rnacentral:rRNA from 1 species